CAAAAUCAAACAAUUCCAACAUCAUUUCUCUCACCAAACCCAUUCGGCCAGCCAUGAUUUUCCCAUGAAAACAUACAAUCCAACCAUGGAAAUUAAGGAGAAAUGCAUGGGUAAGGUAAAUCACUAGCAAAAUCAAAGAAAUUUUACCUUUGCAUGAUCAAAUCCUUGAAUUCCAACACUUUCUCUUUGAUUUUCCCCACCUAGAGUUUGUUCUUCCUUAGUUUCUCUUCUCUUCUAGUU
rnacentral:lncRNA from 1 species